rnacentral:rRNA from 1 species
UACGUAGGGGGGCAAGCGUUGUCCGGAAUCAUUGGGCGUAAAGAGCGCGUAGGCGGUCUGUUAAGUGUAGAGUGAAAAUCUCCAGGGGCUCAACCCCGGAAAACUGCUCUGCAUACUGGCAGACUUGAGGGUCGAAGAGGUUUAUGGAAUUCCUGGUGUAGCGGUGAAAUGCGUAGAUAUCAGGAGGAACACCCCAUGGCGAAGGCAGUAAACUGGUCGACAUCUGACGCUGAGGCGCGAAAGUGUGGGUAGCAAACAGG